rnacentral:rRNA from 1 species
AUUGAACGCUGGCGGCAGGCCUAACACAUGCAAGUCGAGCGGUUCGUCGGACUGGUUCUUAAUUCCUAGGACUCUGCCUGGUAGUUGGCGAUACCGUCCGGUUACGGGCGCUUAUACCGCAUACUAUCUGCUGAGCCUAGCUGGUAUUAUCUAGUUGGUGGGGUAAAGGCCUACCAAGGCGACGAUCCGUAACUGGUCUGAGAGGAUGAUCAGUCACACUGGAACUGAGACACGGUCCAGACUCCUACGGGAGGCAGCAGUGGGGAAUAUUGGACAAUGGGCGAAAGCCGGAUCCAGCCAUGGCGCGUGUGUGAAGAAGGUCUUCGGAUUGUAAAGCACUUUAAGUUGGGAGGCGUUACAAAAAGAAUAAGCACCGGCUAACUUCGUGCCAGCAGCCGCGGUAAUAG